UACGACAAAUAAAAAACCCGACCCCCGAUUCGAGCGACCGCGCCUCCCACCGAUGAAUCCGCCGCCUCCCCGCCGCCGGCCGACAUCCUCCGCCACGCCACCCUUCGUCGCGUCGUCCUGCCCGCACCCUGGUCUGCCUCCUCUCCGCCACGCCCUCUUCCCUGCGCCGUCCGACUCCUCCGCGCGCGGUUCGCCGACACCGAGGCCCAGGCCGCCGCGCUCCGAGCCUGCGCCGGCCGGCUCAUGCGCGCGCCGCCGACCGCGACCGGCUGCUCAACACGCUCCUCGCGGCCGCGGGCAACGACCAGGAGGAGGAGGACGCGCCGGAGGUGGGGCAACGUCAGAAUCAACGCGCUCGGAUCCAGCCGAGGAUUACGGCGACACGGACGCGGAGGCUCCGGCCGCGGCCGCCGCACUCCCUCCGGUCAUCACCUUCCUUCCAGUUUUGUAUGGUGAGAUUCUCUUUAUAAAACAAGAUUUGUAUUGGUGGUAGAUCGACAACAACUGACAAGGACUACCACGAUUAGAGCUACUCUUUGGCACCCAUGUUACAGUAUGAAGUCAAGCAGGCAACAAGAUUUUAUGCACUCUUUUCAUGGUAUAUAUAUGGGAGUACAGGGAUCCGUGGGACGAGGCCAAGGUGUACGUGCGCAACCUUCCCUACGACGUUAGCAGCGAGCGCCUUGUGCAGCUCUUCGGGCAGGACGUCGUCGUCGAGGUCACCGUGGUGAGCAUGCUCUUCCUCUUAGACCAUCUUCAACGCUGGAUGCUAGCAUAAGGUGAUAUGAUUUGUUUCACAGUCGAUAUGUGGUAUUGGUGACAGAAGGUGCAUCACGCGCUUGGGUAUUUUCCUCCGCACGAGGUAAAGUACCAAAUGUGUUUUCAAUAUGUAAUUAGCAGCCAUGCUUAGCAUCAAGCUUUGAUAGAGGGGGCGCUUAGAUGAUUUUUGAUUUUAGGUAUUUAUUUUCUCUAUCUCUGAGCAUCUGCACAGACAACCCGCAUUAUAGAUGAUAUUAGCCUGCUGCCUGUGUUGUUCCUCUAGGCACACACACACACACACACACACACACACAGACACGCACGCGCACGCACGCACCCACACACACACACACACACACUUACUUUUUGCCUGGUGAAGGGAAUGCCUCAAAUCAUCGGACUCCUGAUUAUGUGUCGUGUUCGUGAAAGACUGAAACUGACACUAUCGGUUCUAAAUGUAAAUGAUGUCUGCUUUAAUGUGGUUGUUGAAGCUCAAAUGGAGUGUUUAUGCAUAACUGAAGUGGCACAUUUAGUUCUGGACAUAUCCAACAGCCUCCAAAACUUCUGAAAGCAAAGAGCUGGAGAACCAUCCUCUAGGCUCUCCUGUACCCCAACAGAUUAUUUUUCUUCCAAAACUAUUGAUAAACGCAGCAAGUUUUAAGUCCAAUUCCACAUCCAGAUGUUGUUAUUCAGGUUGUCAUCAUAGUGUAUCAGCUUCAAAGUUUAUUUUUACUCUCAAGUAGUUAAUAAUAUGUGAACCUGAACACUCAAACUACUGCGGGGGUAGGAUUUCUGCAGUAUCUGUUUGGACUAGAAUUUUCUGAAUUGUAGUAAGCUUGGCAACUACAGAAUACAUUGUGUCGAGAUAUAAUAGCACUUGAUUCUCUAACAAUCGUUGGUUCAUGAAUUGCAGCAGGAUGAACCCAAGGCCCCUCCUGUGAAUCCCAUUGCUUACCAUUUUUCAUGAUUGAGAUCUUGGGAUUUAACAUUUUGUAUUUUCUUGUUUAUUUUCUUUUUCUUUUGGAGGAGAACAAGAUGCAGCUUGUGAUAUGUGAAUUUACAACUUUUGUUGAAUAAACAGAAUAUAUCAACUGUAAGUUGAUGUAUAGAAAAGUCAACCCUUGCAUAGAUUUUGUAUUAUAUAUAGUUAACUCAGUAUAGUUAACAUUUUUUCA